rnacentral:rRNA from 1 species
GACGAAGGAUGCAAGCGUUAUCCGGAUUCAUUGGGUUUAAAGGGUGCGUAGGCGGACUGAUAAGUCAGUGGUGAAAUCUCUUUGCUUAACAAAGAAACUGCCAUUGAUACUGUCGGUCUAGAGUAUAGAUGACGUUGGCGGAAUAUGACAUGUAGUGGUGAAAUACUUAGAUAUGUCAUAGAACACCGAUUGCGAAGGCAGCUAACGAAAACUAUAACUGACGCUGAGGCACGAAGUGCGGGAGUCAAACAGG